rnacentral:rRNA from 1 species
AACGAACGCUGGCGGCAGGCCUAACACAUGCAAGUCGAACGUGAAGCCACCUUCGGGUGGUGGAAAGUGGCAGACGGGUGAGUAACGCGUGGGAACGUGCCUUUCGGUUCGGAAUAACCCAGGGAAACUUGGGCUAAUACCGGAUACGCCCUUCGGGGGAAAGAUUCAUCGCCGAAAGAUCGGCCCGCGUCGGAUUAGCUAGUUGGUAGGGUAAUGGCCUACCAAGGCGACGAUCCGUAGCUGGUCUGAGAGGAUGACCAGCCACACUGGGACUGAGACACGGCCCAGGCUCCUACGGGAGGCAGCAGAGGGGAAUAUUGGGCAAUGGGCGAAAGCCUGAUCCAACCAUGCCGCGUGGGUGGAGAAGGCCUUAGGGUUGUAAACCCCUUUCAGCGGAGAAGAUAAGGACGGUACCCGCAGAAGGAGCCCCGGCUAACUCCGUGCCAGCCGCCGCGGUAAUAC